rnacentral:rRNA from 1 species
UACGUAGGCAGCAAGCGUUGUUCGGAAUUACUGGGCGUAAAGAGUGUGUAGGCGGUGUUCUAAGUUUGUCGUGAAAUCUCCCGGCUUAACUGGGAGGGUGCGGCGAAAACUGGAAUGCUAGAGGAUGGGAGAGGUAAGCGGAAUUCCGUGGUGUAGGCGGUGAAAUGCGUAGAUAUCGAGGAGGAACAGCCUGUGGUGUAGACAGCUUACUGGACCAUUCGUGACGCUGAGACACGAAAGCGUGGGUAGCAAACAGG